rnacentral:misc_RNA from 1 species
GAAAUGCGAUAAGUAAUGUGAAUUGCAGAAUUCAGUGAAUCAUCGAAUCUUUGAACGCACCUUGCGCCCUUUGGCUAUUCCGAAGGGCAUGCCUGUUUGAGUAUCAUGAACACCUCAACUCUCAUGGCUUGCCAUGAUGGGCUUGGACUUUGGGGGUCUUGCUGGCCUGUGGGUCAGCUCCUCUAAAAUGAAUUAGCUUGCCGGUGUUUGGUGGCAUCACAGGUGUGAUAACUAUCUACGCUUGUGGUUUUCCACCAGGUAACCUUCAGCAAUGGAGGUUCGCUGGAGCUCAUAAAUGUCUCUCCUCGGUGAGGACAGAUCUUGACCGUUUGAUCUCAAAUCAGGUAGGACUACCCGCUGAACUUAA